rnacentral:rRNA from 1 species
AUGUUCGUUCUGAGCCAGAUUGAGCACAACCUGCCGAUGCCUCCGCACUUGCUGAAUCGCCCUCUUGUCGACGCCAUCAAGGCCGAGCUCGAGAGGCUCUUCCUGGAUAAGGUGGUUGCAAAUCUCGGGCUCUGCGUGUCCGUCUAUGACAUCCUUUCCGUUGAAGGCGGAUUCAUCUUUCCAGGAGAGAGCUGCUCGACGUAUAAAGUUUUCUUUAGGUUAUUGAUGUUCAGGCCCUUUCUUGGGGAGGUUAUUGUUGGGAAAAUCAGUGGAUAUGAUGAGGAGGGUUUACAAGAAUUCAUAGUCGCUCCAGCAUGUCUCGUCCAAGAUGGUGUCGGGGCUUCUGUUGGGGUUCAUGUGCACUGUGCCGUACGAAGAAGUGUAAACAAGGCGGCGGAUGCCCAUGUCCGCCGCCGCGUUCACCACGUUUCUGGUUCCCUCCACGGCGACUGGCAUGAGUUCCUACACAGAGCCCCGCGGCCGAGAACAGGCAGCUAG